AGAAAAAUAAUAACCAUCGGCCAAGCUGAGGUGAGCAGACGACUUUCAACGGCAUUAGACGAAGCAAACUGUACGGGUUGCUUUGCAGUUUUACUCAAUAUACUCAAUAGCAAAUGCUGUUCGGAAGCUGUAGUCCACAAAGUGUUAACACUAUUGGGUGAUCUCCGUCAGAUUUUGAACAAAUACAAGAUCAUCCGCGGACUGCUACAUGGUGACUUUCAACGUUCGAAGACGGAAUAGCUGAAAUCGUUGCACAGUGCAGCCCGUUCACAACUUUCAUGUCAGGAAAGCAGGUCAAUCAGCGAGACAAAAUUUCCUACACGCGCAGAAGUUUUAAAAUUUGUUUUUGGAGAAAUACCAAAUCGAACUUACAAAAG